UACGGAGGGUGCAAGCGUUAUCCGGAUUCACUGGGUUUAAAGGGUGCGUAGGCGGAACAGAAAGUCCGUUGUGAAAUCUCCGAGCUUAACUCGGAAAUUGCGGUGGAUACUAUUGUUCUUGAAUACUGUUGAGGUUAGCGGAAUAUGUCAUGUAGCGGUGAAAAUGCAUAGAUAUGACAUAGAACACCAAUUGCGAAGGCAGCUGGCUAAAACAGAUAUUGACGCUGAGGCACGAAAGCGUGGGGGAUCAAACAGG
rnacentral:rRNA from 1 species